GGGGUUGUGGCUCAGUGGUAGAGUGCUCACCUAGCACAUGUGAGGCACUGGGUUCAAACAUCAGCACCACA
rnacentral:tRNA from 1 species